rnacentral:rRNA from 1 species
AUUGAACGCUGGCGGCAGGCCUAACACAUGCAAGUCGGACGGUAGCACAGAGAGCUUGCUCUUGGGUGACGAGUGGCGGACGGGUGAGUAAUGUCUGGGGAUCUGCCCGAUAGAGGGGGAUAACCACUGGAAACGGUGGCUAAUACCGCACAACGUCGCAAGACCAAAGAGGGGGACCUUCGGGCCUCUCACUAUCGGAUGAACCCAGAUGGGAUUAGCUAGUAGGCGGGGUAAUGGCCCACCUAGGCGACGAUCCCUAGCUGGUCUGAGAGGAUGACCAGCCAAAAUGGAACUGGGACACGGUCCCGACUCCUGCGGGAGGCAGCAGUGGGGAAUAUUGCACAAUGGGCGCAAGCCUGAUGCAGCCAUGCCGCGUGUAUGAAGAAGGCCUUCGGGUUGUAAAGUACUUUCAGCGGGGAGGAAGGCGGUGAGGUUAAUAACUUCACCGAUUGACGUUACCCGCAGAAGAAGCACCGGCUAACUCCGUGCCAGCCGCCGCCGUAA